rnacentral:rRNA from 1 species
UACAGAGGUCUCAAGCGUUGUUCGGAUUCAUUGGGCGUAAAGGGUGUGUAGGUGGCGCCGUAAGUCGGGUGUGAAAUUUCGGAGCUUAACUCCGAAACUGCAUUCGAUACUGCGGUGCUUGAGGACUGGAGAGGAGACUGGAAUUCAUGGUGUAGCAGUGAAAUGCGUAGAGCUCGGGAAGAACAUCGGUGGCGAAAGCGCUCUACUGGACUGCAACUGACACUGAGGGACGAAAGCUAGGGGAGCGAAUGGG